GAAUCCCGUCUUUGACACGGACUACCAAUGCUUUGUGAUGCGCUCUCAAAGAGUCGAGUUGUUUGGGAAUGCAGCUCAAAAUGGGUGGUAAAUUCCAUCUAAAGCUAAAUAUAGGCGAGAGACCGAUAGCGAACAAGUACCGUGAGGGAAAGAUGAAAAGCACUUUGGAAAGAGAGUUAAACAGUACGUGAAAUUGCUGAAAGGGAAACGCUUGAAGUCAGUCAUGUCUGCCAGGACUCAGCCUUGCUUCUGCUCGGUGUACUUUCUGGUCGGAUGGGCCAACAUCAAUUUUGACCGUUGGAGAAAGGCUUUGGGAAUGUGGCACCUUCGGGUGUGUUAUAGCCCUCGGUCGUAUACAACGGUUGGGAUUGAGGACUGCAGCACGCCUUUAUGGCCGGGGUUCGCCCACGUACGUGCUUAGGAUGUUGGCAUAAUGGCUUUAAGCGACCCGUCUUGAAACACGGACCAAGGAGUCUAACAUGCCUGCGAGUGUUUGGGUGGAAAACCCAUGCGCGUAAUGAAAGUGACAGCUGAGAUCCUCUCAUCAGGAGCAUCAGCACCUGGACUUGAUCUACGGAGACGGUUCUACGGUAGAGCAUGUAUGUUGGGACCCGAAAGAUGGUGAACUAUGCCUGAAUAGGGUGAAGCCAGAGGAAACUCUGGUGGAGGCUCGUAGCGAUUCUGACGUGCAAAUCGAUCGUCAAAUUUGGGUAUAGGGGCGAAAGACUAAUCGAACCAUCUAGUAGCUGGUUCCUGCC
rnacentral:rRNA from 1 species